GGCUCUUCAGAUUAGUUACAGAAAACACAGAUAUUGACACCCUAGCUUCAAAGCUUGCCUCAAACACUGAGGCCAUUUAAACUCAGGUUUACUGUGCAAUGUUCUCUGUUUUUUCUCUGGCAUUUACAAAACCAAAGCUUGACUUUCACCAUGUCAGUUUAAUUCAACACCAGAAAUGCUGGAUAUGAUUAGUUUCCUCAAUGCAGCCAUACCUGAGUGUCUUCUCCCAUCUUAUUUGCUGCAAUCCCAUUGCUACUGUUACACAUGGAGUCCCAGGGCUACACUUUCAGUCAGACACUCAACAUGUAAUGAGCCUUUGGUUUUUUUGUUUUUUUGUUUUCUUUCUCUAGGUACAUGUAAAAACCUUCAAGGAAAUAAGUAUUAAAGGGAAACAAUGAGAGCAAGGGAGAAAAUUAAAUAUGUAUGUAUAAUAGUAUAAUAUUUGUAUCAUAUAUAGUGUAUAUGCAUAUAUACAUAUACAUAUACGUGUACAUAUACAUAUAUAUAUAUAUAUCUCAGAAUAACCAGGAAAACCACAAAUCAGCUGUACUACCUACUACUAAAUGAGGAAAUAUGCAAGAAACAAUGUGCUGUCAUCUUAUGAAACUAAUUUUCAUGAUGUUCUUUACAGUUAGGCAAAGGGCUGAACACAAAAUGAAAUAAAAACAUGACAACUUUAUAUUAAGAAUAGUCUACUAUCAAAAAUAUAAAUCCAAAACAAGUAAAUAAGACACAGCUGCUUUACUCACUCUUGCCAAUACUGGCAUCCAGGGAAGGGUAGAAUGGGAGAUACGUCAUACACUGAUCCUCAACUUUGAUUAGGUACUCACCUAUCCAUGUAAAGGACUAGGGGCCUAAUCAGUACCAUGAAAAAAUAUAUUUUAAAAUCAUGCACUCACCCUUUCCCCUAACCACUACCCACCUAAGCAAUCCCAUUCCCACCCCCUAAAAAAAAAAAACCAAGUUAUAAAAGUAUUGCCUCUGUAGGCAAUGAGGAAAAGGGAGCAGGGGAGAGUUAUCAUACCUCUGGACCUCAAUGUUGCAUUAUGUAUCUACAAAUUCCAGCAAAGAACUGGUGUUAUGUGGAAUAAUAUACAGAAUAUAGCAAUAUUAUAUAUACAUUAAAAAUAUAUAAACACCCAGACCCCCACAAAGCAAACAAAAGAUAAGCAAAUAAAACAUCUAGUCUACCACUGCCCACCAGGCAGUGAGGGAUAGGGACUGUGGAGAGUUUUCAUAGAAUCAAUCUCAGUGUUCAUUAAGUACAGAGUAAAAAUAGUCGCACCAAGGACCACGUUCAAAAUGAAGUUAACACCACAAGGCAUUUACAAUCAUAUAUACAUAUAUAUUAUAUGGUUACCUUUUUCUCUAACAAGCUAUGCUAUAAGCAACAGACAAAACAAGAACUCAAGCCUUAUAGUACGUAUACACUACUGCAAUAUGGCACAGGUGACAGAGAAGGGGCAGAUGUUCCACACUUCUGGGCAUAGAUAUAGACUCUUGGUUUGUUUGAUAACACAAACACAGAUUGAGAGUGAAAAACUGAAAUAACUGACAGACUUUUAAAUACAUCCAAAAAGGUAAAAACCCAGAACUCUUCUCACCCUACACCCCCAUGCCAAAGCUACACAACUACUCUACAAGCCAUUGCCCAGACAGGCAAUGAGGGAAGGGAAAGGGGAGAUUUUUCAUAGAAUGAACCUCAAUAUUCUUUAUGUACCUAAGUGUCCACAAAUAGAUUUAGGUACAAAUGAAGUAACAACAAAAAGUUUAAAAAAUUUAUAUUUACAUUUUAAAGUAUAUACAUACUUCCACCUACUGGGUGGAAGAGAAUUAGAAAAUCUAUGCUAUUCUACAGCUAUUGCCCACAGAGGCAAUGAGGAAAAGGGAAAAGAGGAAGUUUUCAUACAUCCGGACCUCCACGUUUCAUUAGGUACUUAAAUGCCCAUGUAAAGGAUUCAGUACCAAAUGAAAUAAUACAGUAUAGUAACAAAAUUAUUUAUAUUUAUAAAGAAUAUAUUUCUCGCCCUUAGUCCCCAGUAAAGCUAAGAGAAAAAAAAAACCUAAAAAGAAAAGCCUACUCACAGAGAUGGAACAGGAAUGGGAGGACACUAAAUUCGGAGCUCCACAGUUCAUCAGGACAGGCACCCAAUGAAAUGGCUUAAGUGAUUAAGAAGCAAGAGCACCUAGGGACACACAUAGGAAAAGCAGAUGCCAGCUCCUCAGCCCCCAGGAGCAGCUCCAGGUCACUGUCAAUGCUACUGUCAAUGAUACUGCAUGGCCAACAUAAGGAAGAAACCUCUUGGAGAGAUUUCUAGCUUUACUCAUAAAGCCAUAGAAAGGACAGGGAAAACAAGGAAGGAAAAGCACAGCGACAACACGUUUGUACACCUGAAAAGUAUACACUCUGCCUCCAAACUACUUUUCCAGCUUAGCAAAAACCAACCAACCAACCAACCACCACCAGAAACCCAAACCCAACUUUCAAACAUUCAAAAUACUUUUAAGAAGUAUUGUACCGAGGCAAUAAAGGGAAAGAGGGCACUGCUGUACAUCUUAACUCCAUGGUACAUUGGGGAUCUUCCACUGUGAUCACCCAGAGAACUAAAGCAAUACAGUAGUAAGAACAUAUAUACAGACAUUAAGUACAUUUCCCUCCAUCUUCCACUCAGAUGGCCAACAGGCCGUAAGAGGUGAGAGAAGAGAGGACUGUUCACAUGUAGUCUUCCACAUUUCAUCAGGUAUUUUCACAUAUGUUUGAAGGGCAUAGAACCUAAUGAAUCAGUAAUAAAAGGCCAUAGCAAGCACUAUUCUACUCUCUUCUACAGUUCUUGCCUUAAGAGGCAACAAGAAAAAGGGAAGAAUCAGUCAUUCUCAAUCACCAUGGUAAUCACGUGCCUAUGCAGAGACAAGUCAAAGUGAAAUACAAGUGGCACUGCACUUACAACAUGUUUGAAAGGAUGAGCGACAACCUAAGUUCCUAAGACUAGAGCAAAACAACAGGUACUAUUAUCAUUCUGUUAUUGCCAAACAUCUGUGUGUCCUUGCAUGGCUUAUGUACAUGUCCACAAGAAAAAUGUAUAGAGAGCAGCAUUAAGUAAGCGCCAAAUAGCAGCAAAACUAUUUCUACACACUCUUAAAAGAAGCUACCUUGUUCCCCUCUUGAAACUCACACUGUUUCAAAACUUAAAUUAUUUUACAACUUUGCCUAUAGUAGGCAAUAUGGGAAGAGGAGAGAUUAUCAGAAAGCAGUACUUCACUCUUUCAUUAACAGGACAAAAUUUAUAAAAUAUAAAAACAUCUAAAAAUACAUGUAUAUGUUUCAAAAUAUGUAUCAACACUAACACCCUCCCCCCACGCCCCGCCCAAAAACCUCUACAACUCUCUAAAGGUCAAUAACUUACUCUACUAGUUGUUGACUAACCGGGCAAUAAAGGAUGGGGAAAGAGUAAUCUGUCAUACUUUGGGACCUCCAUUUUUCAUUUGAAACUUUUUUGAUAUUUUAGAGCUUUAAGAACAAAAUAAAAGAACAAAAACCCCAGCAAAAAUAUAUACCUGAGUUUCAAGAAAUACAAACAUGAGAAGACAGAACAUUACCAAAAAAGAAGAAGAAGAAGAAGAAGAAGAAGAAGAAGAAGAAGUAGUAGAAGAAGAUUUAAUUCCACAUAAACAAAAGUAAGGCAAAGGUAAGAAGACCUACAUUAUACCCAUGGUCCCAAUCCUUAGAGGCUAUGUAAAGCAACGCAUUCCUAGAUGCAAACUCAUUGCACUCCUUGGCAACAGAGCACCUGAGACAGACCGUGCUAUCCUAGAGCCCACACAACACAUGGUCUCUAUAAGUGCUCAGCAGUCUGGCUGAAGAUCAUCAGUUCAGGUUCUUUAGAUUAAGUAACCAUCUUUACAAUCCAAUUUAACAACAGACUAACAAUCAUGCAACAACACAGGACUUAAUUUUAGUUUCUUGCUUCGCAAUAAUCAGCAAGAAUUGUUGGGUACCCAGUAAACCUCAUGCAGCUGGAUUUGUUUGUUUAUACCCAGGACUCUUCUGGCAGCUUUUGCUCCAAUGGUGGCUAAAAUCUCAUAAAAAUAAAAACACAUAUGGCAAAGAAAAUUAAGUAGAACCUAUGAUAGCAAGAAAGUCUUUGAACACUCUGAAACAAUGACUAAUACAAUGAGACAGAAGAGAGCAUGAGCCUCUGGGGUGGGGGCAUGACCACUACUUUAUUAUAUCUAAUGUCAUAUUAGCAGAGGAAACUUGUCUCCUCCAAUUCCCAGCUUUAAUAAACUCUCAGAUCUCCCAAUCGAUUCUUUUUCUCAAGUCUAGAAUUCCAAUUCUACUUUUCCUAAUCAAGACGUACCUUUCACAUUGCAUUCAAGAACACCCCUUCUCUGUAGUGAUCAGAAUGCUCAUUCAACUGCUACCCAAAGCUGUCAGGCAUUUUGUGUGUUUAUGCCCAAAGCACAAGCUGACCCCCCGUGCUUCAAUUUUCCUUCCUAAAAGUACAGAGAGAAGAAUUAAAUCUUAGAGGAAGGAAAUUUGAAUGCUACCAACAUACUUCUUAGACUACAAGUGCCACCUCUCAGUCAUACAGAACUGACUUUGAGUUAGCUAAGAAGCUGUACAUAAACGAGCUAACAAAGCAUGAAAACGUACAGAAUUCUGGGGGCAAAUUAAGAGGCCUACCAAAAUUUUUUAAAAAGUCAGGUGAAGGUUAUAGGU
rnacentral:lncRNA from 1 species